GCCUAACACAUGCAAGUCGAACGAGAAAGUGGAGCAAUCCAUGAGUAAAGUGGCGACCGGGUGAGUAACACGUGACUAACCUACCUCCGAGUGGGGAAUAACUCCGGGAAACCGGGGCUAAUACCGCAUAACAUCGCAAGAUCAAAGCAGCAAUGCGCUUGGAGAGGGGGUCGCGGCUGAUUAGCUCGUUGGCGGGGUAACGGCCCACCAAGGCGAAGAUCGGUAUCCGGCCUGAGAGGGCGCACGGACACACUGGAACUGAAACACGGUCCAGACUCCUACGGGAGGCAGCAGUGGGGAAUUUUGCGCAAUGGGGGAAACCCUGACGCAGCAACGCCGCGUGGAGGAUGAAGCCCUUUGGGGCGUAAACUCCUUUCGACUCGGACGAUAAUGACGGUACGAGUGGAAGAAGCACCGGCUAACUCUGUGCCAGCAGCCGCGGUAAUACAAAGGGUGCGAGCGUUGUUCGGAAUUAUUGGGCGUAAAGGGCGCGUAGGCGGUGCGGUAAGUCNACUGUGAAAUCUCCUGGCU
rnacentral:rRNA from 1 species